UACGUAGGGGCCGAGCGUUGUCCGGAGUUAUUGGGCGUAAAGCGCGCGCAGGCGGCCUCGCGCGCCCGACGUGAAAGCCCCCGGCUUAACCGGGGAGGGUCGUUGGGGACGGCGGGGCUUGAGGGCGGGAGAGGUCGGUGGAAUUGCCGGUGUAGUGGUGAAAUGCGUAGAGAUCAUGAGGAAGACCAGUGGGCGAAGGCGGGUCUCUGGACAGUUCCUGACACUGAGGCACGAAGGCCAGGGGAGCAAACGGG
rnacentral:rRNA from 1 species